GGCACUUGUGUCUUUUUGGUCUUAAUUUGUAGACUAAAAUUUCAAUUUACUGGUGAAAAAAAAUAAAUCCUCUUUUGCAGCCCAGAACUCAUUGUUCAUAUGAGUUUUGAGAUAUAUAUGAAAAAUACA
ensembl:snoRNA